CCUUAUCGUUUCUCUUAUCCACAUCUUCCGCCUCUUAUUUCUCCUCCUUCGCCCCUCCUCUCCCCUUACCUAUCGAACGGCGCGGCAGCUGACGGAGGAGUGGUGGCGGUCGAUGGAGGAGCGGCAGCAGGCCCGGGUGGCGGCUGACGCGGAGGCCGGCGCAGGCGUGGCGAGGUGGUUGCGGCGGCCGACGGAGGACGCGGAGGCAGGCCCGGGUGGUGGCGGCCGGCGCACGCGUGGAGAGGUGGCAAGGCAGCGAGGCGGUGGCCGGCGGCAACCGCCGGAUCCCGCGACGGCGGUGGCAACGGCGGCGGUGGAGGCUGGCACGAGCGAUGUGGCGUUCGGUGAGGUGGUGACUUCUUGAGUUCUCCAUUGCUUUCUCCUCCUCCAUGUCCAUCUUGUUUAGUAGUUUGCUGUUGAUUUUUGGAUGGGGAUGAUGUGAUAUUGGAUGGGAUGGUGGUGGUUGAGAAGGUAGUGAAGUGGCCGCACACAUGGCCUACAGCGGCGGUGGCGGAAGGCGAGACGCAUGGCGGGCGGCAGGGUGGCGGAGACUGGUGGCGUUUCUUUCUCUUUUUUUUUUCCAUAUGCCUCAUAGGUGCCGGCUCUACAACCCGCACCAAUAAUUUCGAGAAUAGGUACCGACCAAUCUGUGCCGGUUGGGAAACUGGCACCUAUAGCCCAUUCCCAACCUAUGAGAUUUUCUGUAGUAGUGACAUGCAUCUUUUCCAUCAUUAUUUUUUCUCAAAUCAACAUUAAAAAAGACUACUAAAAAGAGAGAUAGGAGGUGAGCUGGAUCCAUGUAUUACGUAAUUUCUUUAAGACAUGAGAAUUAUGUUCCCUUCUUUCCCACGGCAUGGAAACCAAUCUCAUGUUCGGCUAAGCUUUCCUCUUUGUAACCAUGCCCUCGAUCCUAUAUAAGGUGGACAGGGAGCCCUCAAAGAGCAUAUUCACAACGUACUCGAUUGUCAAAUCAAUACACACUCGACGGAUACAAUCCCCAAUCAGGAGUAGAGUAUUACUUCUUGUCGACAAGAUUCGCCACUGCUUCCGUCAUCCCAUAUUAGACUUGACGAAGCUAGGCUUUGGGCAGUAGGCGAGCAGAAGGUGAGCGAAGUGUUGGUGGCUCAGCGUGUGGCCGGGAGGGAGGUCGCGGCGCGGAGCAAGAUGCAGUGUGCGGUCGCCGGCAUGGAGCUAUGCUAGGUGCCACGGUCCCAAAGGCCGAAGGAACCCUGCCAGGUGUGGGCACAGGGCGGAGGGAGCUCAGCCGGUGCGGGCAUGGAUGGAGCUCAGUGCGCACGAGCUCAGAGGAAAAUUGGCUGGUGCGGGCGUGAGCGCAUUCGGAGCUCGUCCGAUCGCAGGAACAGAGGAAGGAAGGGGUGGGGUUGGACAGAGGGAGGCCUAUGUGCGACUUGGCUCUCUAGUGAAGGGCGGCCCGCAGCUGGGGUGCAAAGGGAGGCCGACUGGCUGCAGAGAUCUCCACCCAUUGCUGUUUGUAGCUGCCCACUGCUCUGUCUUGUCGACCCCCAUCUCCUUGCUAUUUGACUAUGGUUAUAAUAUAUGAUGGAGAGGUAAUUUCAUAUCUUCUCUUCUAAUGUAAUGUAUGGUGUAAUAUAGGACCGAUUUAGCCAACCCUUUUGUUAUUAGGGGUACUUUGGUACAAUUUAAUUUGUAUAUCUAAUCAAAGCAAUGUGACAAUCGAUGUUAGAGUGAGGGCA